CUUCUGUGAUUACAAAGUUUUGUGCACGCCUAAAUCUGCUCAACAACUUUGAUAGAUACAUAAUUACUCCUAGAGUUGUCUUGCACAAAAGAUUUUACAUUCAGGGCCAAUAUCUUAAGGGAGGAGCAAAUAACUCAGUGUUUCUAAAAGUUUAUAAUACCCAUGAAACAAUUUUGUUGCCCUUUGAAGAACUGAAAAUAUAUAGUGGCAACCCAUUACUCCCUAUGUGCAAAAGACAUAUGAGGCAUGCAGGACCAACCACACGUGCAAGAGCACGAGCUGCAGGUGAUGAUGAUGACAGUGACUAUGAGGGAAGUUUUAGCGGGAUGCAGACGUCCUAGUCGGGACGCAGGUCUGGUGCCCACAGUGGCCGCAUGUCUUGUUCUUCUUUGCAGGAUUCACAGCCCCGUACUCAACGCAUUGACAUGGACAUGCUGACCCAACAAAUUGGUGUGCUGCGCAUUGGACAUGAGGCCAUGCAAAACACUACAACUUAAACCCAGCAAGCCCUCCUAGAUCUCCAAGUCCAACAAAACAUAGGCUGGAAUAGGAUGUAUGCACACCACCAGAGGCCACUACCACCAAAGAUUCCUUUCAUUCCUAUGCCACCACAGUGGCAGCAAGACCAUCUCCACAGUAUCCUCCACCAUAUCCUCAGCAGCCCUCAUAUCCUCCACCAUAUCCAUAUAACUAUCCACCAUAUCAGUGAGGAGGCAUGAGAAGAGAUAAGCUUGGGGGAGAUCCUCUCCCCCACCAAGGUAAGCAUUCUGGCCCUUUUAAAUUUAUUGCAAUUUCAGUUGUUCUAUGCUUCAUGUAAAAAAAAUAAAAAUAAAAUAAAAAUAAAAAUAAAAUUUGCCAUGCAUGCCAUCUUUCUCUUAGAAAUGAUGAAUAGUUGCUUUGUUAAUAUUUUUCUAGUAUCUAGCACUCAACUUAGUAUUUUUCUAAGUAUGGAUCACUUGGCUCACAUAAGACAACCAUGAACCUGAUUUCUUUCUAUGGGUUGCAAGUGCUAAAACUACGUCUAAGUUGUUGUGAGAUAUGAGAUAGUAAGACAAGAACUGCUAUAUUUUUUUUUCUAAGCUUGCAGGAUUAUUGGAGAAUUUAUUUGGAAAAUAUCUAAAAACAAUGGUUCCUCAAUGAUUAUAAAAUUCCUACCAAGGCCAAAUAUUUAUCCUCUGCCAUAGCUGCUUGUCAUUGUUGGGGUUUGUCAAGGAUUGAACUUAACUUAGAUUGGAGUCAUAUGUUUAGACUGAGACACACUUUGCACCCACCAAAUAAAGCCAAUUCUUACACUGAGGAUUGCGCGCAACAUGCAACCUUCCAUCCACC
rnacentral:lncRNA from 1 species